UACGGAGGGGGCGAGCGUUAUUCGGAAUGAUUGGGCGUAAAGGGCGCGUAGGCGGCUUGUUGCGUCGACCGUGAAAACCCGGGGCUCAACUUCGGGCUUGCGGUCGAUACGGGCGGGCUAGAGUUCGGUAGGGGAGACUGGAAUUCCUGGUGUAGCGGUGAAAUGCGCAGAUAUCAGGAGGAACACCGGUGGCGAAGGCGGGUCUCUGGGCCGAUACUGACGCUGAGGAGCGAAAGCGUGGGGAGCGAACAGG
rnacentral:rRNA from 1 species